rnacentral:rRNA from 1 species
AUGAACGCUGGCGGCGUGCCUAAUACAUGCAAGUCGAGCGAACAGACGAGGAGCUUGCUCCUCUGACGUUAGCGGCGGACGGGUGAGUAACACGUGGAUAACCUACCUAUAAGACUGGGAUAACUUCGGGAAACCGGAGCUAAUACCGGAUAAUAUAUUGAACCGCAUGGUUCAAUAGUGAAAGACGGUUUUGCUGUCACUUAUAGAUGGAUCCGCGCCGCAUUAGCUAGUUGGUAAGGUAACGGCUUACCAAGGCAACGAUGCGUAGCCGACCUGAGAGGGUGAUCGGCCACACUGGAACUGAGACACGGUCCAGACUCCUACGGGAGGCAGCAGUAGGGAAUCUUCCGCAAUGGGCGAAAGCCUGACGGAGCAACGCCGCGUGAGUGAUGAAGGUCUUCGGAUCGUAAAACUCUGUUAUUAGGGAAGAACAAAUGUAUAAGUAACUAUGCACGUCUUGACGGUACCUAAUCAGAAAGCCACGGCUAACUACGUG